CAGAGAGGUGGUGACAGUGGUCAUUGUUUGUGGAUACAAAGACAACUUAGGAUCUGCAUAGCCCUUCAUUAAACCAAAGGGAUCUUUCAGAAGUAGAGGACAAACCACAAAAAUCUCUUAAUGAGAAACAGCAAGAGAAUCAAGAGCUUCUUAUCCGAUGUAUUGGACAACACCUAGGCUUCGCAGGGAACAGACCAAUUACUGCUUGUAUCAUCUACAAAUGCCUUCUACAGGGGAGAUCUUUUGAAGUUGAGCGGACUAGUGUGCUUGACCGAAUCAUUCGGACCAUAGGCCAUGCUAUCGAGGUUUGAAUAAUCUAAUCCUAUAUGCUACUAGUGUGUCUUGUUUUCGCUUUUUGUCAUAAUUGGCUUCUCAUAACUAAGUAUUAUUAUUUGGAUUAAAGACCUAGGAUAACAAUGACAUCUUAGCCUAUUGGUUGUCCAAUUCCUCGUCUCUUCUGCUGUUACUCCAGCGUACAUUGAAAGCAAGUGGUGCCGCUGGAGUGGGCGCCGUCGAUUAUCCUCGGCUACUCUGUUUGGAAGGAUGACACAGAGUUUCCGAGGAACUCCGCAAGGAGUUAAUCUUUCCUUUGUAAAUGGUGGCCUGACUGGUGGAGCAAAAGCUUUACACCAAGUUGAAGCCAAAUACCCAGCUUUGCUUUUCAAGCAGCACCGUACAACAUUUGUAGAAAAGAUUUAUGGAAUGAUUCGAGAUAACCUUAAGAAAGAGAUUUCUCCAUUGCUUGGGUUGUGCAUCCAGGUAAUUGAAUCUGUUGGGUAAUAUGAGUCAUUCAUCUGCCCAGGUAAGAAAUACUUCUUUACAUAUUUUUGGUCAAUUCUCAGAUCAUGUCAUUGUAGUUAAUAUACAUUAAUGGAUCAAAUUGAUGGUUCUCAUCACACACAUACUCAUUUAGUGCAUUCUAAUGCUUGAAAUGGUGUGUGGCC